GUCCCAGCCUGGAGCUGCAGGGGCUGCUGUGACCCAAGGGCAGGGCCCAGCACUGGGCCUGGCUGAGCCUCACACAACCGGCCCUGGCCCAUGGAUCCAGCCUGUGCAGAUCCCUCUGCAGAGCCCCUGCCCUCCAGCAGCUCAGCACUCACACCUUGGCAUCAUCCUUUGCCCCUCAGGACCUCUUCCCAAGGGGUUCUGUCAAGAGGCUCCUAAACAGGCUGAACUCUGCCCUCGAAAACUCCAAGAUCAAUACUGACUGCUUUUCUGGAAAAAUGUUCUAACCAAAGACAAGUUAGUAGGCUCAACCCUGGAGUCAAGCAAGAAAUUCGGUGACUGCAUAUUACACAGAAGAUUAAGCUGGACUGCUGUCAUUAUAUUUUGUUGAAGAAGGUGAAUGUCCAAACUAAAAGAGAUGUUGUGUGGGAUUCACUAUUCAGAUAAAGCAGAACUGAACAGUAAUCUGAGACUUGGACCCUUUGCCACAGUUAGCAUUGACUAUUGAGGGGGGAAAAGGAUGGUAUUACCAGCAUAAAGAUUCUGUGUAUCAGGAGAGCAGGUUUUGGCAGUUGGCAUGUGUGGGAGCUUGAAGUCUGCCCUGGAAGAUAAAAUCUUCAAGGGCAGCCUCCUCAAAGCACCAGAAUGAUCCAUCUUGAUCUACACAAAACAGGCCAGCAUGGCCAGGGGCCAGGUUAGCUCAACAUGGAACUGUGAGUAAUAGCACUGAAACACUGUCCAGGCAUCCAAGGAUUGAAGUAAGAAGGCCAUAUCCCAGCUGGAGUUAAAACUGGUAAGGAAUGUCAAGAGCAACACUUAGUAAGAGAAAAUAAUACUUUCAGCAAGAGGAAGACCAAGGUUAACACAGGAUUGCUGCUGAACGGACAGGAGUUGUGCUAGAGACUCUAGGAAAAGUUCAGAUGCUCAAUGUUUGCCUCAGUUUCCAUUGGCAAAGAGCAAUUCCAGGUUUCCAUGACUUCAUAGGCUGGAGAGCUGGGCAUAGUGAAACCUAAUGAGGUUUAACAAGGGAAAUUGUAGGGUCCUGCACCUGGGGAGAGAGAACCCCAAACACCAGCAGAGGAUGUGGGCUGACCUACCAGAGAGCAGCACUGCAGAGAAGGGCCUGGGAGCUUUGUUGGAUGACAAGCUGGCCAUGAGCCUGCAAUGUGACCUUGCAGCCAGGAGGGACAGUGGUAUCCUGGGGUGCAUCGGGAAGAGUGUGGCCAGCAGGUUGAGGGAGGUGAUCCUUCCCUCUACUCCACCCUGGUGAGGCACCUGUGGAGUGCAGAGUCCAGUUCUGAGUUCUUCAAAACAAGAAACACAUGGAGUUCCUGGAAUAGGUCCAGUGGAGGACACAAAGAUGAUUUGGGGUCUUGGGCAUCCCUUUUAUUACAAGAGACUGCAGGAAGUUUAGCCUAUUUAUUCUGAUAGAAGAAAUCUGAGAGGGAAUCUCAUUAAUAUGUAAACAUAUCUUAAUGGAGAAGAUGGUGCCAGACUCUUGUCAGUGGUGCCAUGUGACAGGAGAGGGAGCAUUGACUAUAAACUAAAACACAAGUUUCACCUCAACAUGUGUGACAACAACUUUGUGUUGAAGGUAGCAGAGCACUGGAACAGUUUCCAAUUCAGGGUGGGGAAUCUCCCUCUCUGGAGACAUCCAAAACCACCUGGAUAUGUUCCAGAUGUAAAAAUAUCUUAAUGGAGGACGACAAGAAGAUGGUGCUGGACUCUUAUUGGUGGUGCCCUGGGACAGGAGAGGGAGCAUAAACUAAAGCACAAGAAGAUUCACCUCAACAUGAGGAAGAACUUUGUGUUGAAGGUAGCAGAGCACUGGAACAGUUCCCAAUGGAGAGUGUGGAGUCUUCCUCUCUGGAGACAUCCAAAAUGACCUGGAUAUGUUCCUGUGUUACCUGCUCCAGGUGACCCUGCCUCGGCAUAGUGGUUGGACAGCAAGAUAUGCAGAGCUCCCUUCCAAUUGUAAUGAUUCUGUGAAGUCAGAAAGACAGAUGGUUAAUGAGGAGUUUCCUUGGGAUCAGUACGAGUAGUUAACACCUUUGCCAGCAGUCUGAACUAUAGGAUGAACCAAGCCCUCACCAAAGCAAAAUAACUGCAUGCAGCAGUACAGGCUGGGGGUGGCAAUGUAGCAGCUCUGCAGAAAAGGGCAAGACUCUUGUUCACACAAGGCAGGCAUGUGUCAUCUUGCCAACCCAGGACAAUCAAACGCUGGUCCUCAUUAGCAAAUCUGUAACCAGCAUGUUUUAAGAAUGACCCUCUAUCUGGCACACUCAUAUGCCAGAGUCAUAUGAGGUCAUAUAGUUUUGUGUUCAGUUCUGGCCUUCAAGUACAAGAAAACCCACAAUGAAAAACCAUGCAAUGAAAAAACAUUGAGUUUGGAAGGCGAUGACAAAGAAAGAAUGCAGGAAUAUAUCAUAUAUACAUUAUUCUGGAAAAGACCAGGAUAAAUAUUAUUUCAGCUUCCAUCUACACCAUAUUAGAGCUGAUAGAAGUUGAAUGCUCUCAGGGAUACACACAGAGAGACAGGAGGUCAUAGUUUCAAUAUGUGGCAAGAGAAAUUUUCAUUGCACAAAAGGGAAUAAUAAACAACAUAACAAUAAAAAUUGUUAAGUGCUGAGACAGGUUGCUAAGAGAGAUGAGAAAGGUCUUAAUGUCUGGACAUCUUCAAAACUUAGCUGAAAAAAAAAAAAAACAAACUGAGCAAAAUGAUUAAGAUCUGCAUCAUUCUGUGUUCAGCAUAUAUUUGGAUGGUCUUCAAAGAUUGCUUCAAGCCUAAUUUUUUCUGUGAGUUCUUUUGACUUUAAAAUCCAUGAAUCUGUGUUUUUCUUUGAUGAAAUAGUGAAGAGUUUAAAGUGCAUUCCACUGCUUUUAUGGGAAGGAUUUUGCAUGUAAAUGUCAACAUUUUCUGUUCCCACUGUUAAGAGACAAAAUGGAUGUACAUAUUCAUUGCACUUUAGUAAAAUCAGUCUUUACAAGUGCCUGUAUCUAUGAACAGUGUAGGAUGGAUAAUAAAAGGUUUUUUUCCUGCUGUAAA